rnacentral:rRNA from 1 species
AGCAGCCGCCGCGGUAAUACGAAGGGUGCAAGCGUUAAUCGGAAUUACUGGGCGUAAAGCGUGCGUAGGCGGUUUGUUAAGUCUGCUGUGAAAUCCCCGGGCUCAACCUGGGAAUGGCAGUGGAUACUGGCAAGCUAGAGUGUGUCAGAGGAUGGUGGAAUUCCCGGUGUAGCGGUGAAAUGCGUAGAGAUCGGGAGGAACAUCAGUGGCGAAGGCGGCCAUCUGGGACAACACUGACGCUGAGGCACGAAAGCGUGGGGAGCAAACAGGAUUAGAUACCCCGGUAGUCCCUGUCUCUUAUAC